rnacentral:tRNA from 1 species
GCCAGAGUAGCUCAGUUGGUAGAGCAUCUCACUCGUAGCGAGAAGGCCAUGAGUUCGAUCCUCGUCUCUGGCU